AUUGAACGCUGGCGGCAGGCUUAACACAUGCAAGUCGAGCGGAGAUGAGGUGCCUGCACCUUAUCUUAGCGGCGGACGGGUGAGUAAUGCUUAGGAAUCUGCCUAUUAGUGGGGGACAACAUUCCGAAAGGAAUGCUAAUACCGCAUACGUCCUACGGGAGAAAGCAGGGGAUCUUCGGACCUUGCGCUAAUAGAUGAGCCUAAGUCGGAUUAGCUAGUUGGUGGGGUAAAGGCCUACCAAGGCGACGAUCUGUAGCGGGUCUGAGAGGAUGAUCCGCCACACGGGGACGGAGACACGGCCCAGACUCCUGCGGGAGGCAGCAGUGGGGAAUAUUGGACAGUGGGGGGAACCCUGAUCCAGCCAUGCCGCGUGUGUGGAGAAGGCCUUAUGGUUGUAAAGCACUUUAAGCGAGGAGGAGGCUACUGAGACUAAUACUCUUGGAUAGUGGACGUUACUCGCAGAAUAAGCACCGGCUAACUCUGUGCCAGCCGCCGCCGUAACAC
rnacentral:rRNA from 1 species